GGGGGUGUCACGGUUUCGACUGAGAAGUCAAGUAUUGAUUGCAUGCGGAGGAUGUCGGUUGGCCUCCUAAAAAAGCCGAUAAAACAAUAAAUGCUAACACAAAUAGCAAACUAAUUAGUGGUGUUGAUUUUGCCGCUGCUGUAGAAGCUGAUUCAGUUUCUUACGCUGCUGCUGCUUAACCUGACUAAUUGGUCGCUGUAUAAAGCCUAACAGCUUUAUCAGCACAGCAGUCUGAGACUGGACCAAGGGUCGAGGAGUCUGCUGUCAUUGACUUGGUACGGAAUAAAGUCCGCCGCUUCUAGGGUUUUAUUCUAAGAUAAAUGAAGCAAGUUAAUCAUAGUGUGGUGGCUGCAAUGUGAUUGACUUAUUUUCAGCACACUAAGCAUGUAGAUAUUAAUAUGUAGAUUUGCCCAGGACGAGAGUUCAAUUCUCUCCACCUCCACCA
rnacentral:tmRNA from 1 species